rnacentral:rRNA from 1 species
GACGAACGCUGGCGGCGUGCUUAACACAUGCAAGUCGAACGGAAAGGCCCUUCGGGGUACUCGAGUGGCGAACGGGUGAGUAACACGUGGGUGAUCUGCCCUGCACUUUGGGAUAAGCCUGGGAAACUGGGUCUAAUACCGAAUAGGACCACGCGCUUCAUGGUGUGUGGUGGAAAGCUUUUGCGGGGUGGGAUGGGCCCGCGGCCUAUCAGCUUGUUGGUGGGGUAAUGGCCUACCAAGGCGACGACGGGUAGCCGGCCUGAGAGGGUGACCGGCCACACUGGGACUGAGAUACGGCCCAGACUCGUACGGGAGGCAGCAGUGGGGAAUAUUGCACAAUGGGCGCAAGCCUGAUGCAGCGACGCCGCGUGAGGGAUGACGGCCUUCGGGUUGUAAACCUCUUUCACCAGGGACGAAGCGUAAGUGACGGUACCUGGAGAAGAAGCACCGGCCAACUACGUG